rnacentral:misc_RNA from 1 species
UCUCCGUUGGUGAACCAGCGGAGGGAUCAUUACAGAGUUGCAAAACUCCCAAACCAUUGUGAACGUUACCCCUCCCGUUGCUUCGGCGGGCGGCCCGGGCCCCGCGCCCGGCGCCCCCCGGCCCCCCGUGGGCGCCCGCCGGAGGUAAACCAAACCCUUGGAUUGCAUGGCCUCUCUGAGUCUUCUGUACUGAAUAAGUCAAAACUUUCAACAACGGAUCUCUUGGUUCUG